GUUUGUGUAGCUUAACGCAAAGCAAAGCACUGAAAAUGCUUAGAUUUUCUAAGAUUUUCUAAACAUACACA
rnacentral:tRNA from 1 species